GGAUCAUGAGGCGAUGUGAGUGGGUCUACGCAAUUUGCUAGACUCAGGAAAGUCCCCGGGCCACGACUGCAGAGAUGCAGACUCGGAAACGGGUAACUUCGAGCUGGGACUUGUCUCGUUUCCUUUGAAGCGAGGGGCUGAGACACGUGUGGAGCCUUUGCGAGUCCCGCCGAAGACAUUGGCCAAUGUCACAGUCAUUCACAUGGUCUUCCUGACUAACAGAACGGGGCUUACGCCCUCGUGAUC
rnacentral:RNase_MRP_RNA from 1 species